UGGGGAAUCUUGGACAAUGGGGGCAACCCUGAUCCAGCCAUGCCGCGUGGGUGAUGAAGGCCUUAGGGUCGUAAAGCCCUUUCGCCGGGGAAGAUAAUGACGGUACCCGGUAAAGAAGCCCCGGCUAACUCCGUGCCAGCAGCCGCGGUAAUACGGAGGGGGCUAGCGUUGUUCGGAAUGACUGGGCGUAAAGCGCGCGUAGGCGGAUCAGGAAGUUGGGGGUGAAAUCCCGGGGCUCAACCUCGGAAUGGCCUUCAAAACUCCUGGUCUUGAGUUCGAGAGAGGUGAGUGGAAUUCCGAGUGUAGAGGUGAAAUUCGUAGAUAUUCGGAGGAACACCAGUGGCGAAGGCGGCUCACUGGCUCGACACUGACGCUGAGGUGCGAAAGCGUGGGGAGCAAACAGGAUUAGAUACCCCUGGGUAGUCCCACGCCGUAAAACGAUGAAUGCCAGACGUCGGGGGGCUUGCCCUUCGGUGUCACACCUAACGGAUUAAGGCAUUCCGCCUGGGGGAGUACGGUCGCAAGAUUAAAACUCAAAUGAAUUGACGGGGUCAUAGCUG
rnacentral:rRNA from 1 species